rnacentral:rRNA from 1 species
UGCAGUCGAGCGGACCGACGGGAGCUUGCUCCCUUAGGUCAGCGGCGGACGGGUGAGUAACACGUGGGUAACCUGCCUGUAAGACUGGGAUAACUCCGGGAAACCGGGGCUAAUACCGGAUGCUUGAUUGAACCGCAUGGUUCAAUCAUAAAAGGUGGCUUUUAGCUACCACUUGCAGAUGGACCCGCGGCGCAAUAGCUAGUUGGUGAGGUAACGGCUCACCAAGGCGACGAUGCGUAGCCCACCUGAGAGGGUGAUCGGCCACACUGGGACUGAGACACGGCCCAGACUCCUACGGGAGGCAGCAGUAGGGAAUCUUCCGCAAUGGACGAAAGUCUGACGGAGCAACGCCGCGUGAGUGAUGAAGGUUUUCGGAUCGUAAAACUCUGUUGUUAGGGAAGAACAAGUACCGUUCGAAUAGGGCGGUACCUUGACGGUACCUAACCAGAAAGCCACGGCUAACUACGUGCCAGCAGCCGCGGUAAUACGUAGGUGGCAAGCGUUGUCCGGAAUUAUUGGGCGUAAAGCGCGCGCAGGCGGUUUCUUAAGUCUGAUGUGAAAGCCCCCGGCUCAACCGGGGAGGGUCAUUGGAAACUGGGGAACUUGAGUGCAGAAGAAGAGAGUGGAAUUCCACGUGUAGCGGUGGAAUGCGUAGAGAUGUGGAAGAACACCAGUGGCGAAGGCGACUCCUCUGGUCUGUAACUGACGCUGAGGCGCGAAAGCGUGGGGAGCGAACAGGA